UCCAUUUAUUUUCUCCGGCUAUUCUUCCAAGAAAAGAGAGUGGGAGGGAAUAAGUAGAGAGACCGGCAUUGCCCACAGCACGACAGCAUCUGCUUUUCCAUACGCGGAGGAAUAAAUUCGUUUCCUUAAGAAAUCUUAUACUCUUUUCCCGGCUUCUCUCUCUCUCUAUAAAUUACCAUCUCCCUCACCAACAUCCCCAAUCUCUUCCAGUGGCAGCCACUCACUCCAUUCUUUUCACGAUCACUUCCUUCCGCCACCAUGAAUGACCCGAGGUAUGCCUACCCGUACCCUGCUCAAGGUUAUUAUCAGGGACCGCCAGUGAUGGCACCACCUCAGUAUGCAGCUCCACCACCAAGAAGAGAGCCGGGUUUUCUCGAAGGAUGCCUCGCUGCUCUGUGCUGUUGCUGUCUGAUAGACGAGUGCUGCUGCGAUCCAUCCGUCAUAUGCGUCGGCUGAAUACCUUCUUUCAAUAACAUAUCCAUGCAUCUCAUCAUGUGAACAUUUGCAGCUCUAAUAACAUAUCCAUUUCAUGA